GUAGAGAAGCUGCAGUCCAACACUGAAAUUUGAAAAGCACAGCAGUAGAGAGAAAUGUUAACCAAUAGCAUCUGAAUGUGCACACCCACAUUCCCAGAAUACGUGCAAGGUCAAAACUAGAUAUGCUGAGUAAGCAUGCAUUUACUCACACAAAAAUAGAUGCAUGGCAGCACACAACCAUGGAUGCAGAAGCACCUAAAAGCGGAAAGCAGUCACAAUGGAGAGAAAGAGACACACAUAUUGAUGGUCAAAAGAACAUUAUAAUUGACUUAUCCUAAACAAAAUUUCAGGAAAAACAAAAUGACAAAGAAAAGUAAAGCAAUAGAGAGGUUGGACCAGUGGCGGAUCUAGAAAAUUUU
rnacentral:misc_RNA from 1 species